GACGAACGCUGGCGGCGUGCCUAAUACAUGCAAGUCGAACGCAGUGGGGACGGGUGAUUAACACGUGGGUCACCUCCCCUCAGAGGGGAUAACCCUUGGAAACAGGUGCUAAACCGAUACUGAUGGAUGGACCCGCGGUGCAUUAGCUAGUUGGUGAGGUAACGGCGCACCAAGGCCACGAUGCAUAGCGGACCUGAGAGGGGGAUCGGCCAAACUGGGACGGAGACACGGCCCAGACUCCUACGGGAGGCAGCAGUAGGGAAUCUUCGGCAAUGGGCGAAAGCCUGACCGAGCCACGCCGCGUGAGUGAAGAAGGUUUUCGGAUCGUAAAACUCUGUUGUUAGAGAAGCGGUAUCUAACCAGAAAGCCACGGCUAACUACGUGCCAGCAGCCGCGGUAAUAC
rnacentral:rRNA from 1 species